AAAGGACUAGGUUGGAUCUGUGCGUUAAUAAUCUACUUACUUUUAUGCCUUGUGCGUAAAAAUAGGUUCUUCCCUACCACUCCCCGCCGUUGGAUCUGUGUGUGAAUUAAUCACUGUCAAAAGCACAUAGGCGCAGAAAAGCCAUUAAAUCGAAGCAUCCAUUUUCCGCCAAAUACAAACUCCUCCCUCCUUUCUCAAACGAUACUGAACAUAAGCAACAAAAUAAUCUCUGUUUGAUCAACCAUAAAGUUAGGGUUCUGGAACAGUGAGAAUGGCGGAGCCAGCAAGUUCAGGAGGUGGCGGAAGCCAUGAGAGUGGGGGCGACCCAAGUCCUCAGUCCAAUUUGCGAGAACAGGAAAGGUACCUACCGAUCGCUAAUAUUGGACGUAUUAUGAAGAAGGCAUUGCCUGCUAAUGGAAAGAUCGCUAAGGAUUCUAAGGACACUGUUCAGGAAUGUGUAUCUGAGUUCAUUAGUUUUAUCACUAGCGAAGCUAGUGACAAGUGUCAGAAAGAGAAGAGAAAGACGAUCAAUGGAGAUGAUUUACUAUCAGCCCUGGCUACCUUAGGAUUUGAGGACUACAUUGAACCACUCAAGGUCUAUUUAACUAGGUACAGAGAGAUGGAGGGAGAUGCCAAGGGUUCUGCAAGGGUUGGAGAUGCAUCUGUUAGAAAGGAUAUAGUUGGAAGCCAGCUUGGGUCCAAUACGCAGUUCAUGUAUGAAGGUUCUUUUGCACAAGGCUUAAACUAUGGAAACUCUCAAAUAUGAAUUUUAAGGUAGAAGAUAGAAUAACUAAAGCUCCCAGGCACAAUACCCCAGACAAUGACCUAAAAGCAAGUUCUGGAAGAUGAAUAAAUAACUUUGGAUGCAUACCAAAGAAAAGCUGAAUACAUAGAACAGUGAAUUAAUCUUUUGCUGGUAGAGGCCAGAAUAUCUUCUCGUUUCUCUCGUGCUGAUCUCUUUAUUAAACUGUUCAACAGCAAUGUUGAUACUUGCUUGAGAGGAUUAGACACCUAAAGGAUUCGUACUAAUUUCUGGAUCAACUUCUGCAAAUAUUUUGUUUGCUAUACUUUUGUUUUGAUUUUCUUCCGCUCUGUACAUACUGUUUGGUUUUUAAGAUCACGUAGAACAAACAAUCUAUUUGUAGUUUGUACAGCACGUAAGUGCCCAAACAUUCGGAUCUGUUUUAUUCUAGUGUUUUUUGAUAUUAUUUUCCCAAAAA